GUCGCUCAUAAACAUCCUUGUCCUCUUUGCUUGUUACGUUUCCAACAGCGAAAAUGUCACCCCAGUGCAGCGCAGAAGAUGUUUUCAGUGUACAUUUUACAGUGUUUACUUUUGGCUAACUCGGAUAUUCUACCGGAGAGAGGCCACUGGAGGCUGCUGCUGCAGCGAGGAGGAUGCGGACCAGGCCGGAGGGGACCAGACCAUGUCUGUAGGACCACACAGAGCCUGAGCUGCCUGUCAGCGUGGGCCGGUUUUGUUUGAUGCCAUCUGCGACAACAAACUACGGCUUGGCUGAUAACGUCGACCCAACUGACGACGGUGUCGCAGAAUUUAGCAUCCACCCUCCGGUUCCCACUCAGGGAAGGGAAAA